AUUGAACGCUGGCGGCAGGCCUAACACAUGCAAGUCGAACGAGAGGCGGACGGGUGAGUAAUGUAUGGGCCUCUGCCUGAUGGCGGGGGAUAACUACUGGAAACGGUAGCUAAUACCGCAUACCAUCAGAUGGGCCCAUAUGGGAUUAUCUUGUUGGUGGGGUAACGGCUCACCAAGGCGCCGAUCCCUAGCUGGUCUGAGAGGAUGAUCAGGCACACUGGAACUGAGAAACGGUCCAGACUCCGACGGGGGGGAGCAGGGGGGAAUAUUGGACCAAGGGGGUAAGCCGGAUGCCGCCAUGGCGGGGGGUAGAAGAAGGGCCUCGGGUUGUAAAGGUCUUUAAGCGGGGAGGAGUUAACCGAAGAAGAAAGACCGGCUAACUCCGUGCCAACAGCCGCGGUAAUAC
rnacentral:rRNA from 1 species